AUGCUAUAGAGCAGGGGUGGGGUGGGGAGCUGUAUGGCGUGGCCUCCUUCACAAUGGGAGGGAAAAAGCUGGUGGAACCCAUGAUGCGUCGUCACCCAACCAUCAUGCAGACAAGGAAACCCACAUGGGUCACGUCACCUACCUGAGACCACAGGGCCACAGGUCCAGAGCAGGCAGAUUCUUAUACCCGCUGAGCCACCAGAGAAAAGACUCAUCAGAGGGGAACAAACAAGGCAGGAGGAGAGCUUCCCUAGGCCAAGCUCCUCAAGGAAAGAGGACCUCCCAAUCCCCCAGGAAGGUGUCCCUGAAGGCCUAGCAGUAGUCACAGCUGCCGUGGCUCUUCCCAGGGGCCUGGACAAGCAAUAGUGAAGUCGGAACCACAGAGGACCAGGAGUAAAUUCUGCACAGGAAUAGGAAUUACUCGAGAGCUGCCCACAGCCAAGGCCCUGAAGGCCCCAAGAGACCCCCUCCAGCACAGCGCCCUCCUCCUCUCCCUCCCCUGUGCCUUGAGCCACACCCAGACUUCAGCCUUGCCCCAGCCUCCUUGGUGCCUUCCUAACCACAGCUGAGAGGCCCAGAGCUGCACAGAUGUUGGUGUAGCUG
ensembl:lncRNA